rnacentral:rRNA from 1 species
CAGUAGCCGCGGGAAUACGGAGGGUGCAAGCGUUAAUUGGAAUUACUGGGCGUAAAGCGCACGCAGGCGGUCUGACAAGUCAGAUGUGAAAUCCCCGGGCUUAACCUGGGAACUGCAUUUGAAACUGUCAGGCUGGAGUCUUGUAGAGGGGGGUGGAAUUCCAGGUGUAGCGGUGAAAUGCGUAGAGAUCUGGAGGAAUACCGGUGGCGAAGGCGGCCCCCUGGACAAAGACUGACGCUCAGGUGCGAAAGCGUGGGGAGCAAACAGGAUUAGAUACCCCAGUAGUCCCUGUCUCUUAUAC